rnacentral:lncRNA from 1 species
AUUUCUUAUACUCCAUUUAAUUAAUAACUGCGUUUCAAAGGAGAAGUUCCUUCCCUCUUACAAAAAUGCUAUUUUAUUUUUGAACAGGGAGCUAAGCUAAAUGAAGUAUUCUAAAUCAAUUUACAGAUACUGUGCUAUUUCUGCGGGAUUUCUGAAAGUGCCACACCGCCAGUCCUUUUCUCUGUGGAUCUGCCUGGUUAGACAGAGCAGGCAGCGACUUUAGCAAAGGUGCCUCUGUUUGUUGUGACUACUACUCAUGUGAAAUACUCAGUGUCACAUUGCAGUCUUCCAAGUGCAAUCAGUUCAACUCCAGCGGAAACAACAACAGAACUCGGAGUUGUUCCUGUGGGGCAGAAAGCGUUCACCCUGCUGCUUCCCAGCAGUGCAUCUGGCACCUAGGGCUCACACCGACAGCUCCCUUCCUGGCUCUGAGGAAUCUGAUCUCACACUGAGGAACAGAGAAAUGGCCACCAGUCCCUGUGCAGCCCGACAUGGCCGUGUCCCUGCAUUUCCUCCAGCUGCGACUCUUCACUCAGGAGGAGUCCACUCCCACCCUCGGUUCUCAGCUCAUCCACGAGACCUGCUGUGACCCGAUUCGCAGGGCUGAUGCACCGGUUCUUGCUCCCUUCUUAGUCUGACCUUACCAUGUCCUGAUGUGGGCCUGGAGCAUGAGAAACCUUCUGGAACGAGGACCCCACAGACAGAUCCCCCUGCUGAGGGCCAGACGUGUGCAUGAGACCACUACACACUGCCAACC